rnacentral:rRNA from 1 species
AGCGAACGCUGGCGGCAGGCUUAACACAUGCAAGUCGAACGGGCGUAGCAAUACGUCAGUGGCAGACGGGUGAGUAACGCGUGGGAACGUACCUUUUGGUUCGGAACAACCCAGGGAAACUUGGGCUAAUACCGGGAUAAGCCCUUACGGGGAAAGAUUUAUCGCCGAAAGAUCGGCCCGCGUCUGAUUAGCUAGUUGGUGUGGUAACGGCGCACCAAGGCGACGAUCAGUAGCUGGUCUGAGAGGAUGAUCAGCCACAUUGGGACUGAGACACGGCCCAAACUCCUACGGGAGGCAGCAGUGGGGAAUAUUGGACAAUGGGCGCAAGCCUGAUCCAGCCAUGCCGCGUGAGUGAUGAAGGCCCUAGGGUUGUAAAGCUCUUUUACCCGGGAAGAUAAAUGACUGUACCGGGAGAAUAAGCCCCGGCUAACUUCGUGCCAGCCGCCGCA